CCACAUUACCACUCUGCCACUUUCUU
rnacentral:tRNA from 1 species